rnacentral:misc_RNA from 1 species
CACGCGCAUCGUGUAACCAAAACAAUAUGGCGUCCAACAGUUGUCAAAAAAUCGAAAACUAUGAAUUUAACUUAAUACUGACGAACUGCAAUGUUUAAAAAUGAACAAGAAUGUAAAGAACAUUUGAAACGCGAGGAAGGUUUACUUUUAUGACAACAAAAUGCUCGGAGGUGCUUAUUCUACCCAGUUCAAGAAUAUUGAACGUCAGCAUGUGGACACAAUAAAAACGCUGGCAGUAAAUGAAAAGUCUGAUGCUAUUGCAAGAGCAAGGAAACUCUCAGUGGAAACAAACAGACGUAGAAGAGCUCUGGCCAUAAAGAGAAAGUCAGAAGCUGAGCGUGAAGAGAAGAGGCGUCAACAGAUCCUGGCAAAACGUAGAGAGAAACAGCAAGAGGCAACAGAGAAGUUCCAGAGAGGACACAUACAGAGUAGGCCAGGCAGCGGGUCAAGCAGUGGGAGAUGGUCACCAAGACGCACAAACAUACACACACAACUAGAUGAUGCCCUUAAAAUUGUCCGAGGUAGUCCAGCCAGUUCUCGGGCAAGUUCGGCUCGAACCCGCAACCAAUCUAGUCCGAAUACCUCCUUCUACAGACAGAACAGUGAUCCACUAAGUAAACCAUACUUCAAUAAGUAUGCCCAUCCUUCAGUCAAUAAUGGAGGACACAGCAUUCAUUCUACACACAGUACACAUCAUAAACAGGAAGAACUGCAUAAUAAAAGUCUACGGAACUUAAACAACAGUCGUAAUUUAUUUGAACAACAGUUAGAGUCCUACCAACAGUCACUACUUGAACAGCAGCAAAACACUUUGAGAGAAUUCAAUAAACAGCUAAUGAAAGAGAUUGAAGUGGAUAAAAAUGUUGUCAAUAAUGAAACAAAUGGAGUUAAUGGAUUAGACAGGAGUGAAAGUCUUUCAACAGUUGAUAGUCUUGAAGACGGAGAUACAAAUGAAACACUGCGUGAAAGUUGUGAUCUCAAUGCGUUUAUGACACAAAAAAACGAAGAUAGUAAUUUUGCUAAUGGUGCCAAAAAUGUGACUUUUGCUGGUGAUCAGAAUCAAGCAAUAAAAAUAUAUGGAAAUAAUUCACAUAUUAUACACAGUGCAGUAAAUAUGGAACCUCAGAACAUUGAUUCCUACAACUCUCAAGCUUUGCAAGCUCCCAAUCAAAGAUCUGAGGAGCAGAAACAACAGUUUUAUAUUCAGAGACAGAAAGAAAUCCAAUUACAGUUGCAAGAACAACAACAAAAGCAGAUGUUGUUGCAGCAAAAACAACAGAAAGAACUGCAGCAGAAAGUUUUGGAGCAGCAACAGAAACAACAGCAGUUGCUGCAGCAACAAUAUGAGCGACAAAAACAGGAAGAAUUAGAGAAACAACGACAAGAACAUCAGCAGCAACAAGCUGCUGUUUCCAUGGCAACAACAGCUUCUGACUAUGCAAGCAGUGAAGAAGGGAAGGAAAAUCAGAGACCCAAAGUUCAGAUGAAAGCAUGGGCAACUCCGUCCCCCCACCCACCUCCUCCAGCCAGUACUGUUACCACUACUGCACAAACAUAUGUUACACAUGCAAGUCCAUACACAGGCAAGAAUACACACACGAAUAUGACGGUUCCCAUGGUGACCUCUAAUGAUCAGAUUUCAAAUUCUAAUACACCAUUUAGUGUUAACAGCAACUCUAGUGUGUCUCAGACAAACAGUUCGAGUGCAACACGUUUAAAUGACAAGAAUGUGCAAGGAAACACAGAUGUAAACAAAACAGAAUAUGUUAAUUCACCAAGUACUCAAGACAAAAGCCUAUCCUUCUUGGAAACAGUAACCUAUGGAUUAUCUGUAACACCAGAUUCAAACAGUACCAAUUCUACACCAACCACUGCCCCAAAGAACCAAUCAAAUAAUGGUGUAAGUGAUGUGAAACCCACACAACAAGCUUCCAAAACAAAUGGAAAUUCUGGUGCUCCAACUAAACUAUCUACAACGUCGACUAAUGUUCCGAAAACCCCAAUUCAUGCUGGUUAUUACAACUCUUAUGGUGCUGCUUACUCUGCUAGACAACAGUUAACAAACGGCACUAACAAUAAACAAGCAGUUAAAGAGACUGCAGGUACUGUUACAACACAAGCUGGUACAGCAAAAAUGAAUGGAGAAGUUACCUGGGGUUUACCGGAAGAAUUGGCAGGACACUUGAAGAUGAUGACAACCGAACCCAUAAUGAAUGGAGACGAUACCGGAGAUACAGAUUCUGUCAGUACUAUCUGUGAAGAACGGGAACCAGAACCUAAAGAUGUGAAGAGCAUUUUAAAGCGGACAGGAAGUGGCAAGAAGACUGGGGGAAUUCUAAAGAAAUCUGGUUCCACGGGCAAUAUGAAGGAGAUACGUGACAGCUUGGAAAUUACACGUGUACACCUGCAGACUAGUGCUGAAGAAAAGGAACAAAGGAUGCUAAGGGAGAAGGAACGACUUAAGAAUCCACCACCAACGCCUACAAAGAAGAAUGUAAGAUUUGCAGAUCUAUGCUAUGAUGAUGAACCAGAACAGAGUGGAGAGGGGGACAGUAAACUGUUUGUGAAGAGAAAUAAUGAUGCAGUGAGCCACAAGCCACCAAGGCCAGUAUCAGCAGUUACAACAAAGACUUUAUCUCCAAAGAUAGAUAGUAAGCCCCCUCGAGCCUCAAGUGCUAGUACUGUUCGAACAAGCACCAUUCCACGUGCAAAAACACAGAUUGUACGACCCCAGGCUGCAGCUCAUAUCAUUACACAAAGUACACAAAAUCUGGACAAUGUUAACGAGAAAGUUACCGUUGUAAAUAGUAAUUUCAUGGAGAAAGUUCCGGCUAUGGCAAGAGCCAAUCAGACUGCUCUAUCUGUGGCACCGGCGUCAGUCUAUGCAGUGAAUUCUGUGAGUUACACACAUCCACAACAGAAAGUGAACUACGCUGUAUCAAGUAUUGUGAUGCCUAAGAGUGAAAGUGCACCGUUUAUAUAUCCUGGUUAUAACAAGCAGGGUCCAGUCCCUGCAGGCAGUGUAAACGGUCCCUCUCAGGGAGGGAACAGUUCUAAAUAUGAUGGUGCUGUGUAUGAUGAAAAUGGUUUACGAAUUGAUCGGACCCCAACUGAUGAUGAGAUCAACUUUUUAUGGGACAAAUUACGUAACUGUCUCAGUAGGAAUUCCCAAGCAACGCCUGACGGGGUUCAAACUGAUGGCCAGACUGGGGGCUCACGUCAGGCAGCCCCAGUUGCACAUACAUACAUUGAUGGAAAUGCUUUAGGCCAGUUCAACAGUUUAAAUAGGGUAGCCCAACAACCAGGACACAAUAGCAAUACCAGUCUUUCAUUACGUAGACAGAACUCUCUUGAUAGUGCACCUAAUUCAUACACACGACGUUACGGUCUGCUACAACAGCGGAAACAACAACCAAACCCAAACAGUCUAAAGUCACGACAGCAACAACAACAACAACAGCAGCAGCAGGGUUACACUGUGUACCAGCCUCCGGUACAAAGUAACUCAGAACCUCAACCUUCUGGGCCUAUUAUUAAUGGUGCUGAUGUGACAGAGAGUAUGGCAGGGUUUCUGGCGGCGGAGCAGUUAGCAGAUCAGUCUGUAUCCGAGAGUAGAAUACAUCAAGCUAUGGAGGAGGCCCAGGCUCGACAACUUGCCUAUAAUACUGCUAGACCUCAACCUAAAGUGAAGUCAGCUCUUUCAGUAGAGGAACAGAGGUUAAUGGAAUCGUUAGAUAGACUAAACGACAAACUUAAAACUGCUGAAGGUGUGUCAGAUAUGAGCCCACAGAGUCAGCCUGCGCCACAACAGCAACAACAACAGCAGCCAGUGCGACAGGUUGCUGUACAUAGAUACUGAGUGAUAAAUCUGCCGUGGUAAAACUGUUUGACACCAAUAUCCACAUAGAAUUUCCAAGUGAGCGGUUUCAAAGGUCACACACCAAUUACACAGAGAAGAGUGAUAGA